AAUAAGAUGCCUGAUAAAAGGAUUAUUUUGAUAGAAUAAAUUAUGUAUAUUAUUACUCUUAUUA
rnacentral:tRNA from 1 species